UGAGAAAGUCACGUGACUCUGGCGGAAGCGUUGGCUUGACAACUGCAGUAAUCUUUACCUGCUGCUGCUGCGGCUGAAACAGAAGGUUUAUAAUCCAGGUGCCAUAAAGUAAAAAUCCUGUCCAGCAGUUGUUCCAACCAGCUCCUCUGCAGGUAGAUGCACACAGCAGGAGACACCAUGCCAGAGGUCAAGUCAGUAUUCAGAGAAGUUCUGCCCAAACAAGGACAGCUGUCCAUGGAAGAUGUCCCUACCAUGGUUCUGUGUAAGCCAAAGCUGCUCCCACUUAAAUCCGUCACAC